rnacentral:rRNA from 1 species
UACGUAGGGGGCAAGCGUUUGUCCGGAAUCAUUGGGCGUAAAGAGCGUGUAGGCGGCUCGAUAAGUCUGCUGUGAAAGUCCAGGGCUCAACCCUGGAAGGCCGGUGGAAACUGUCGGGCUAGAAUCCGGAAGAGGCGAGUGGAAUUCCCGGUGUAGCGGUGAAAUGCGCAGAUAUCGGGAGGAACACCAAUGGCGAAGGCAGCUCGCUGGGACGGUAGUUGACGCUGAGACGCGAAAGCGUGGGGAGCAAACAGGG